rnacentral:rRNA from 1 species
GACGAACGCUGGCGGCGUGCUUAACACAUGCAAGUCGAACGGAAAGGCCUGCUUUCCCUUGUGGAUUGCGGGUACUCGAGUGGCGAACGGGUGAGUAACACGUGAGUGAUCCGCCCCCAACUUGGGUAUAAGCCUGGGAAACUGGGUCUAAUUCCCGAUAGGACUGCAGGGUGGUGCCUGUGGUGGAAAACGAUUUUCUAGUGGUUGGGGAUGAGCUCGCGGCCUAUCAGCUUGUUGGUGGGGUAAUGGCCUACCAAGGCGGCGACGGGUAGCCGGCCUGAGAGGGUGGACGGCCACAUUGGGACUGAGAUACGGCCCAGACUCCUACGGGAGGCAGCAGUGGGGAAUAUUGCACAAUGGGCGGAAGCCUGAUGCAGCGACGCCGCGUGGGGGAUGACGGCCUUCGGGUGGUAAACUCCUUUCGACCGCGAGGAAGCCACCUGGUUGGAAGGGUGGUGACGGUAGUGGUAGAAGAAGCACCGGCUAACUACGUG